rnacentral:lncRNA from 7 species
UUUACUUUUAGAUUUUACAAGGACUGCUGUUUGCUUUCUGAUGUAGAAAAGAGCUCGAUGGCAUGAGCUGUGUGAGAAGAGAUUACUUCCUCUGGUUGAAGUGUAGACCUCCUGCAUGUAGAUUAUUCCCAAGAAGAGAAGCUCAGUAUUCAUUGGCAGCUCCUCAAAAUGCCUGCAGUAACAUGAAGCAGUCACAGAUCCUGGUGCAUAGAUCUUUAAAAGGUCUGCAGAAACCAGAAGAUGAAAUGUAGAGUGAUUCAUCUGAGCACUGAUUCAGUCCAAAAACUGAACAAUAGAUUUCAUAACUGUCAGUGCUGAGUGGAGUUCCUUGUCUGCUUCUACACUCCAAGCCUUCAGUCCCCCAUGGAGGAAGCUGAUUUCUACUUCUGAAUGAGGAUAUUUUGUUCACGGCACUAUGGGAAAGUAUCUAAACAUAUGCCUAGGCUAGGAAGCAAAGAACUUCAAGCUAGUUGACUUUUAUGACUCACAUUUGCCAUUUCAGUGUAGCCAUAAUACUGAAAUAGUAUUUCUGGACAUUUGUAGUUUUUCCAGGAAGUGUAGGAAGAGGAGAGCUUGAAUGGCUGCUGCUUUGGUCUGCAGAUGUGUAGUUCUUCCUGGAAUGGAUUUGCAGGGUUCACAUAACUCGGACCUUCUGCUAAGGUAGAGAUGAUAUUUAGGCUGUAUUCUGCUGAAGUGUUCCUGAGUUUGAUGAAGUAAGCAGUGUAGUUGAGUUGGCAAGGAGACACUGCAGUUAUUUGAAAAGGUAGGCACUGGGAAAAUGGCACCACUUUCCUAUGGUAGUUAAUAGGCUGCUGCAUACUGUCUCUAAUCUAUUGCUCCCUGUUGUAGCCUUUAUCUACAGUUUCUUUUGAGGAGGUAUCAUAGAGUUUUCACAAUCUUUUCUGGAUUGUAGGCAAGUUGUCUGUCUUAAUCUCAGACUGGCUCUGAAAACAACAACAAUACAGUAUCUUUAAGGCACAGUGCUCACUUAACAAUAGCAUCUUGGCAAUGAGUGAUGAUAUAUGUAACCUUCUUUAUUGUUUUCCUUUAGUCUUGCCACUUCCUGAACAUAAAAAAAGAUACAGCUUCUUU